rnacentral:rRNA from 1 species
UACGAAGGGGGCUAGCGUUGUUCGGAAUUACUGGGCGUAAAGCGCGUGUAGGCGGGUCUUUAAGUCAGGGGUGAAAUGCCAAGGCUCAACCUUGGAACUGCCUUUGAUACUGGAGAUCUUGAGUCCGGGAGAGGUGAGUGGAACUGCGAGUGUAGAGGUGAAAUUCGUAGAUAUUCGCAAGAACACCAGUGGCGAAGGCGGCUCACUGGCCCGGAACUGACGCUGAGACGCGAAAGCGUGGGGAGCGAACAGG